rnacentral:rRNA from 1 species
CAGCAGCCGCGGUAAUGCGUAGGUCCCGAGCGUUAUCCGGAAUUAUUGGGCGUAAAGCGAGCGCAGGCGGUUCCUUAAGUCUGAUGUGAAAGCCCCCGGCUCAACCGGGGAGGGUCAUUGGAAACUGGGGAACUUGAGUGCAGAAGAGGAGAGUGGAAUUCCAUGUGUAGCGGUGAAAUGCGUAGAUAUAUGGAGGAACACCAGUGGCGAAGGCGACUCUCUGGUCUGUAACUGACGCUGAGGCUCGAAAGCGUGGGUAGCAAACAGGAUUAGAUACCCCUGUAGUCCCUGUCUCUUAUAC